GAGGAGUUAGUUAAACUAUAACAUCACCUUGUCAAGAUGAAGUAAUGGGUUAAAACCCCAUACACCUCU
rnacentral:tRNA from 2 species